GAAGAUUGGUUUAUAAGGGAAUAUCCUAGUGUUUCUGACAGACCUCUGGCGCUGAGUUUGUCUGAUCCAUGGCUGCCAUACUUGAAACAUUGCUUAAAUCAAGUGUCAAUAAGUUGCAAGAUUUCAUUACGGAUGAGGCCAUACUAAUCCUAGGGGUGGAAAAAGAGCUUACAAAACUGCUGCGACGAGUGGAACUAAUUCAGUGUUGUAUAUACGAUGCUGAGAAAAGGAGGACAAAAGAGCAAGCAGUAAACAAUUGGCUUGGUCUACUGAGAGAUGUUAUAUAUGAUGUUGAUGAAACCUUGGAUGUGGCUAGAUGUAAAGGAAGCAAGCUACUUCCUGACCACCCAUCAUCAUCAUCAGGCAAAUCAUUUGCAUGCAAAUGCCUUUCAGUUUCCUCUUGUUUUUGCAACAUAGUGCCACGCCGUGAUGUUGCCGUUCGGAUAAGAAGCCUCAAUAAAAAGAUUGAGUGCAUUGCAAAUGACAAGAUAUUCUCAACUUUCAACAAUAGUACACAGCCUAUUGGAAAUGGUCAAACAUCCAGACUGAUAAGAAGUUCCAACCUUGUUGAACCCAACCUUGUGGGGAAGGAGAUUGUACAUUCUACCAGGAAGUUAGUGGACUUAGUUCUUGCACACAAGGAAUACAAGUCUUACAAGCUCGGUGUCAUUGGGACUGGAGGAGUUGGUAAGACAACACUAGCUCAAAAAAUAUACAAUGAUCAGAAAAUAAAAGGAAGCUUCAAGAUGCAUGCAUGGAUUUGUGUUUCACAAGACUACAAUGAAGUAACUCUUCUUAAAGAGGUUCUCCGGAAUAUUGGUGUGCAUCAUGAGCAAGGUGAAACCAUAACAGAGUUGCAGAGGAAGCUUGCAGAAACAAUUGAAGGGAAGAGUUUCUUUCUGAUUCUAGAUGAUGUGUGGCACUCCAAUGUAUGGACGGAUUUAUUAAGGCCUGCAUUACACGAAACAACAUCCGGAGUAAUAUUGGUAACCACACGAGAUGAUCAAAUUACAAGGAGAAUAGGUGUAGAGCAUACCCACCGUGUUGACCUCAUGUCAGCAGAGGUGGGAUGGGAGCUACUUUGGAAGAGCAUGAACAUUGAGGAAGAGAAAGAAGUGCGGAAUUUAAGAAACACAGGGAUUGAGAUUGUUCGUAAAUGCGGUCACCUCCCUCUUGCAAUCAAGGUUACCGCUAGUGCUUUGGCAAGCAAAGAUCUAACGGAGAAUGAGUGGGAAAAGUAUUUGGGCAAAUAUGCUGGUUCCCGGAGCAUGCUCUCUAAUGAAAUAGAAGGAGCUCUGUAUCUAAGCUAUGAUGAGUUGCCUGGUAAAGUUAUCUGAAACAGUGUUUCCUUUAUUGUGCUUUGUAUGCUGAAGAUUCUGUCAUUCAACGUGGUAAAGUUACCUGGUUAUGGAUUGCUGAAGGCUUCAUCGAGGAGCAGCAAGGUGAACUACUAGAAGACAUAGCAGAAGAGUACUACCACGAGCUAAUCCACCGGAAUCUCCUCCAACCAGAUAUCUCAUAUUUUGACAUGUCUCACUGCAAAAUGCAUGACCUCUUAAGACAGCUUGCACUGAACAUAUCAAGAGAGGAAUGUUUUAUUGGAGAUGUUGAAACAUUAAGGGGUGGAAAUAUGUCAAAACUACGACGUAUUACUUCUGUUAUUAAGAAGGAUAUGUUGGUGUUACCCAGAGUGGAUAAGGUGGAUGUUAAAGUAUGGACUUUCCUAACCGUUGAGGGUCCAUGGAGAAUUGAGGAUACAUUGUUCAAGAGAUUUCUGCUUCUUCGUGUUUUGGUACUGAAUUACUCACUUGUACAAAGCAUCCCAGACUAUAUAGGAAAACUGAUACAUCUACGUCUACUUAAUCUAGAUCAUACUGGCAUAUCUUGUCUUCCGGAAUCCAUUGGCUCCCUAAAGAACCUUCAAGUACUGAGCUUGAGAUGGUGUCAUGAUCUGCACACUCUCCCUUCGGCAAUGACCCUGUUGAUCAGCUUGCGAUGUCUUGAUCUUGAUGGCACCAAAAUAAUUGAGGUUCCAAAAGGGAUAGGGAAACUAAAGUUCCUCACUUAUGUAGAUGGUUAUCCUAUUGGUGAUGGAAGUGAUGAUAGUGUUGUACAAGAUGGAUGGAAGUUGGAAGAGUUGUCUUCUUUGUCACAGAUGAGGUAUCUUUCACUUGUUAAAUUGGAAAGAGUGACUCAUUGCAUUACAAGUGUGGUGCUGACAGACAAAAAACAUCUAAAAGUACUAAAGUGGACUGAACGUGGAGAGGGAUCAUAUUCAGAAGAAGAUGUCAGCAAUGCUGAGAAGGUCUUUGAGCAGCUAAUACCUCCACCUAACCUGGAAUACCUAUAUAUCAAACAAUUCUCUGGCCAGCGGUAUCCCACCUGGUUUGGUACCACCUAUUUGUCUUCAUUAAUACACUUCAUCCUCAUAGAUGUACGAUCAUGUGUGCAUCUUCCACCGAUUGGGCAGCUACCCAAGUUGAAAUUUCUGAAGAUUGAUGGAGCACAUGCAGUUACCAAGGUCGGGCCUGAAUUUGUUGGUUGUAAGAAGGGUGAUCAUGCAUGCAAUGAGUCGGUUGCUUUCCCUAAACUUGAAUGGUUGAUCUUCAAGGGUUCUUUUUUGAGGAAGAAGUUGUUGCUGCUGAUCCAAGGGGAGAGGAUGGAGCCGCUGUGAUUCAAAAGGAGGAUGCCCAAUCUUCAAGGUUGCAACUGCUGCCUCGUUUGGUGAAGUUGAAACUUGAUGAUUGCCCAAAGCUGAGAGCUCUCCCGCAACAGCUUGGAAAGGACACCGCCUGCUUAAUUAAGUUGCUCGGUUUAAGAGGGCUAAACAACUUGAAGGCCGUGGAGGACCGCCCACAGCUCUCUGAGCUCCUUGAUAUUGAGGAUCUGCAACCUCCCUCAAGUGACAGAACUGCGUGUAUAUGGUUGUCCGAACUUAAGCCAUGUAGAGGGGCUGGGCAGUUUGCAGCAGUUGUGGGUGGGCGAUGAUAUGCAAGAGGUCUCUUCCCGCUGGGUGCCUGGGCUUCAAGAGCAGCACCGGCGACUUCAUGGCGAAGACCUAGGUAUCUACACAUGGACCAGUUAGACGGCACAAGAGUUGAUAAUAUUGGUGAAUGGUGAAAGGUGAUGACAAGCACUUGUUCAAGGAGCUAUCUGUGGGAGGAAAAGCGUGAAGGAUAAGGGACAAGAUCUGUUCUCUGCAACUUAGCUGAAGAAGAACAAUAAGGAAAUUGCAGAAACUACUAGUACACUUCAGUGUGGUCUUCAGUGUGCCAAGAAAGUUAAUAGUGCAAUGCAGUGCUCUUCAGUGUGGUCUACUACCGUUUCUUUUCUGAACUUAAUUAUUGCGUGAUGGAGAUCUAUGAUACCCCUCUUGACGUGUUAUCGGCUUUUUAAUUACUUACGGAAACGUGACGCACUGCACUCUGUUUUAAGCUGAGCGUCCUGUCUGUUUUUGGCUACUGUUAGGCUUGGUGGUCGUUUAGUUGGGAGGAGAAAUUGGACAUACUUGGAUAGGUGUAAAGUUGUAUGUGAUCAAACUGAAAGAGAGGUGCAUCUCGUGUGUGCAGUACAUUAUUUUUUUUAUUCCCGCGCUGGCUUGUAUGUAAUCAAACCUUAAA